CAUAUUGACCUUGGACAUAUAAGAGCGACGGGAAGGUUUGGCACCUCGAUGUCGACUCUUUUCCACCUGGAGCUGUAGGUGGUUCCAAGGGUUGGGCAGUUCGCGCAUUAAUGCGGUAUGUGAGCUGGGUUCAGAACGCGUGAGACAGUUC
rnacentral:ncRNA from 1 species